CCGGUACCGGGCAGGGACGGGGUGAACGGACGGGGCACAAGCACGGCCGCAGGACGAGGAGCCGCCACCGGCCGCCUCCUGUCGCCCCAGCGGCGCGACCGCUCCUUCUCUAGGGAGGGGCUUUCCGGCGGCGAUGGCGCAGAGUUUAUUGUACCGGUCAUGUUUUGCAACACAGCUGCCAUCCUUUCCUCUCUGAUGCAAGCAGUGCAUCAUGUGCUGUCAGCUGACCAGAAGCAGAGGUCAUUGCUUGAGGUGCAAGCAGGCUUACGUGCAGGCAGGCUACAGACUGCCAGCCCGAGUAUUUCCCAAGGCACACAGGUAGCAUGCAGUUCCAAGAGCUCCAUCUAAGUUUGUGGGUAUUCACAAGCAGCGGAGGUAACAGGAAGAAUCUUGGAAGCUUCAUCUUUGGCAGCAGAUGCUAAGAUUUGUAAUACUUACUUGGAAAAAAAAAAUGCAGUUUCUUAAGCCUUUUAGAAGAAUUUCUGUUUGAACUCAUAAAAAGUAGCUACUUCUACAUUUGUUUCUUCUUCUUGGCUCCAGAGUCUCUCCUUUUUACAUAGCACAGCUGCAAAGUUCCUUUGUAGCUGAACUGAACUUGUGCAGUACUUCCCUUGAUCUGCUUUCCCAAGCUAAACAUCUUCUAUCAUCAGCUGUGAAAACUACUGGGCAGAAUCAAGAUAAGCAUGUGCAGCAGCUGGUCAAACUGUGUCAUGGCUGGACUCAGUCUAGUAACUGAGAGACUGCAAAUCUCAAACUGCAGUACUACAAUCUAAAGAUAGGAACCUUUUGCAAAUUCUUAGAACAGUGUCAUGCCACUAAAUGGAUGUGUGCUGGCCUCUAGCAGAUAACCAGCAAAUCAACUCAUAAGCCCACUUUAAUUUACUCUACUGACAGAACUGAAUUUCAUUGCUUCUUCCUAUUUGACAAGAUAGUUCCAAGUAACAUUUUUCAGUUAUGGAGGUCACGGAAAUCCUUUCCAUUAUCCAGUGUCAACUAGUGGAGUUUCCUAUUACUCCUAACUUAUUCCAUCUUUACCAAAGGAAAAAACUACCACCCACUCUGCCCAAUGGAUUCUUUGUUUGUCUUCUGCUUCGAUGUUAGAAAACUCCAGUUUUCUUUCACAAGACUCAACCUCUUUUUCUUAAAACUUUCUUUGCUCUAAGUUGUCUUAUUUUUCCCACGAAAGUGCUUUUACUUGUACAGAAUGAAUGGAGCAUGUAAAUUCUUUCCUCUUUCCCACAGUAAUCGGUUCUGUUACUGCAGCUUUACCACCUUAAGGAACAUACUGGCUGUUGCUGUAUUUAACUCAUUUUUCAUUUAAGUCACCAGCCAUGACUUACAGUUCAAGGUACUGAACAGUAGAAUUGAAACUGCAGAGCUGUGUUUAAUUAUUAGGCAUGUUAGUGUCAGCUGCCCAGAAUUAUUAGCAGUAAUCUACUAUUUAGGGUUGAGAAUAGUGGAAACUGUCUAGUAUAUAGAGUAUAUACUUUUUAUGUAGUAUAUAAAAUCCUUAACACUACUAGCAAAAACAAACACGAAUUUACCUAGAGCUAUUCAAGGAUAUGGAUAUAUUAAUUAUUGCACUAUUCUAGAGCUCUUCCGCAACAAUCAUUUUUAAAAUCUUCACAUUCCUGCACAAAUUAUUGUGAAAUUCACUAAGUAUAUUCCGUGAUUGGAUUAGUGUAAAAUUCAAAUUCUAAUAAUUUUAUAUUUAGUAAGCAAUUACACAUAACCAGUAUUGCAGUAGCAUGUAUAUUUCUAGUUGAGAUAUUUGAAAUUUUAAACGCUUAAAUUUCAUCAAAACCUGAACUUGAGAUGGUGACAGAGUAGUAAUUACUUGCUUUAUUCCUCUUCAAAUUAUUUCAGUUCUAUAGCUGCCCCUACACUAUUCAAUUUGAACAGUGGUGUAUUGGGUUUGCACCUGGCAAUAAAGAAGUUAUCUUUUUUCAGGCAAAUGAUUUGCAGACCAGUCUUUUUUUUUUUUAAACUGUCUUUAACAUUUUUUUAAUCAGGAGAAAUACUUCAAUUUCACACUUUAAUAUUAGUUCUUAAAAAUAGUUUGCCAAAUUUGAAAUUUAGUCAGCUUUCUUACUUUUUCCAAAGAACUUUCACUCAAAAGUAGUUACAAGAACUUUCAGUGGUAAAUCAAAAGAUGACUGAUGCAUCACUGAUCACAAAUGGACUUAUUCAGCGAGUUACUUUAUGGUCUACAGAAGCACUUUUUGAUAAUCUGAAUGAUGAUUAGGCAUCGCAACAGUUUAGAUCAUGGUUACCAAUUCCUUUUGCUUCCUUCCCUUUCCCCACCAAAUAUUAACCGUACGUCAUUUUACUGAGAUUAAAAUUACUUUAUUUCCAGACAGUUUAACAUAUAUUACAAAACUCCUUAGAGGUCAGCUCGAACUCCAAAACCUGGUCCUUUGGGUGGUUCAGUCAGAGAUGUUAGGCCACCAGCCGGCUCACAGGAAA